GGAGGGUUGCGCCGAAUGGUAAGGCACCGGUUUGCUAAACCGUGACCGUGUCAAUGGUCUUGUGGGUUCGAGUCCCUCACCCUCCGCCA
rnacentral:tRNA from 1 species